rnacentral:rRNA from 1 species
GAAACUUAAAGGAAUUGGCGGGGGAGCACUACAACCGGAGGAGCCUGCGGUUUAAUUGGACUCAACGCCGGACAUCUCACCAGCACCGACAGUAUGCUGUGAAGGUCAGUUUGAUGAGCUUACUGGAGCUACUGAGAGGAGGUGCAUGGCCGCCGUCAGCUCGUACCGUGAGGCGUCCUGUUAAGUCAGGCAACGAGCGAGACCCGCACUCCUAAUUGCCAGCAACACCCUUGAGGUGGUUGGGUACAUUAGGAGGACUGCCAGUGCCAAACUGGAGGAAGGAACGGGCAACGGUAGGUCAGUAUGCCCCGAAUGUGCUGGGCGACACGCGGGCUACAAUGGUCGAGACAGUGGGAUGCAACCCCGAGAGGGGGCGCUAAUCUCCGAAACUCGAUCGUA